rnacentral:rRNA from 1 species
GACGAACGCUGUCGGCGUGCUUAACACAUGCAAGUCGAACGGAAAGGCCCUGCUUUUGUGGGGUGCUCGAGUGGCGAACGGGUGAGUAACACGUGAGUAACCUGCCCUUGACUUUGGGAUAACUUCAGGAAACUGGGGCUAAUACCGGAUAGGAGCUCCUGCUGCAUGGUGGGGGUUGGAAAGUUUCGGCGGUUGGGGAUGGACUCGCGGCUUAUCAGCUUGUUGGUGGGGUAGUGGCUUACCAAGGCUUUGACGGGUAGCCGGCCUGAGAGGGUGACCGGCCACAUUGGGACUGAGAUACGGCCCAGACUCCUACGGGAGGCAGCAGUGGGGAAUAUUGCACAAUGGGCGGAAGCCUGAUGCAGCAACGCCGCGUGCGGGAUGACGGCCUUCGGGUUGUAAACCGCUUUCGCCUGUGACGAAGCGUGAGUGACGGUAAUGGGUAAAGAAGCACCGGCUAACUACGUGCCAGCAGCCGCGGUGAUACGUAGGGUGCGAGCGUUGUCCGGAUUUAUUGGGCGUAAAGGGCUCGUAGGUGGUUGAUCGCGUCGGAAGUGUAAUCUUGGGGCUUAACCCUGAGCGUGCUUUCGAUGCGGGUUGACUUGAGGAAGGUAGGGGAGAAUGGAAUUCCUGGUGGAGCGGUGGAAUGCGCAGAUAUCAGGAGGAACACCAGUGGCGAAGGCGGUUCUCUGGGCCUUUCCUGACGCUGAGGAGCGAAAGCGUGGGGAGCGAACAGGCUUAGAUACCCUGGUAGUCCACGCUGUAAACGGUGGGUACUAGGUGUGGGGUCCAUUCCACGGGUUCCGUGCCGUAGCUAACGCUUUAAGUACCCCGCCUGGGGAGUACGGCCGCAAGGCUAAAACUCAAAGGAAUUGACGGGGCCCCGCACAAGCGGCGGAGCAUGCGGAUUAAUUCGAUGCAACGCGUAGAACCUUACCUGGGUUUGACAUGGAUCGGGAGUGCUCAGAGAUGGGUGUGCCUCUUUUGGGGUCGGUUCACAGGUGGUGCAUGGCUGUCGUCAGCUCGUGUCGUGAGAUGUUGGGUUAAGUCCCGCAACGAGCGCAACCCUUGUUCACUGCUGCCAGCACGUUAUGGUGGGGACUCAGUGGAGACCGCCGGGGUCAACUCGGAGGAAGGUGGGGAUGACGUCAAGUCAUCAUGCCCCUUAUGUCCAGGGCUUCACGCAUGCUACAAUGGCUGGUACAGAGAGUGGCGAGCCUGUGAGGGUGAGCGAAUCUCGGAAAGCCGGUCUCAGUUCGGAUUGGGGUCUGCAACUCGACCUCAUGAAGUCGGAGUCGCUAGUAAUCGCAGAUCAGCAACGCUGCGGUGAAUACGUUCCCGGG